UGGACAGUGGCAGACUGGUGAGUAACGCGUGGAUAAUCUGCCCCGAAGAUGAGGAUAGCUCGCCGAAAGGUGAGGUAAUCCUCAAUGGUGUGGGAAGUACGUAUGUACAUCCCACUAAAGCUUUAGCGCUUCGGGAUGAGUCUGCGUCCUAUCAGCUUGUUGGUAGAGUAAAGGUCUACCAAGGCUAAGACGGGUAACUGGUCUGAGAGGAUGGUCAGUCACAGUGGCACUGAAACACGGGCCACACUCCUACGGGAGGCAGCAAUUAGGAAUCUUGCACAAUGGAGGAAACUCUGAUGCAGCGACACCGCGUGAAGGAUGAAGACCCUCGGGUUGUAAACUUCUUUUAUAAUCUAACAAGUUCUGAGUGGAGUAUGAAUAAGCACCUGCUAACUGCGUGCCAGAAGCAUCGGUGAAGCGUGGGGUGCGAGCGUUAUCCGGAUUUAUUGGGCGUAAAGAGAUGCGUAGGCGUUUUGGUAAGUCUUCUGUCAAAGCCUUCGGCCUAACCGAAGAAAGGCAGAGGAUACUAUCAGAAUUGAGACAGAGAGGGGGAAGUGGAAUUCCCGGUGGAGCGGUGAAAUGCGUUGAUAUCGGGAGGAACACCAGUGGCGAAGGCAACUUCCUGGCUCUGUUCUGACGCUGAGGCUCGAAAGCGUGGAGAGCAAAGCGGAUUAGAUACCCGUGUAGUCCAUGCUGUAAACGUUGGAUACUGGACGUUUGGUUC
rnacentral:rRNA from 1 species